ensembl:lncRNA
AGGUUACUCGUGGUCACUACCAGAAUGCUCUGACAGCGAUGCGCAUGGACAGCUCCCCCACACUCCCGACGCAGAGACGCAGGGGGAGGGGGCCCGACCGGCCGGCCCGGAAACACGCUCACACAGCAUCGCCCUGCCAGUCACACGGCCCGAGCACAAACACCCCAGUGCUGGCACUCUCACUGAGCACACACACCUCCACACAGCCACUCACAGCGAGCAGGAGAGCGACAGCACCAGCAGCCUCAACGAGAGGAACCGCAUCGUCCGGAGUAAAUCAGAUGGCCAGAGGAGUCCCAGUGAUUCUGUGUUUCUGCGGUUGGAGGAGAUUCCCUACAGUCGAGAUACACACCAGGAUACACACACCACAGGCAACGGGAGGAGAAGACUGUCAGAUACUGAGGAGACAGAGGCGCCUAGCAAAGCCUAGCGAUGAGCGGGGGGCGAGCAGCUUCCUCCUCUCAGUUGUGUGUUCUACACACCCACACCUGACCUCUGACCUCUCACCUCGCUCAGGGCCCUCUGAGGAUGAAAGAGAGGAUGAUGAAGACGAAGAUGCUCUCUUCCGUCCGUCACAGAUGCUGACUCACAGAGAGCCCUGGCAUGACACACACAGACAACAUGACUACAGCCUUUGUCUCCACAGCUACCAUGACGACGGUUGGCAUGGCUACAGUGGGAGUGAGUGGGCCCUGAUGACAUCACAGGGAUGCUGCCUGCCUGCCUAUGUCGUACAUGCUGCAUUUCCUCCACCAGAGGACGGGUGUGUGUGUGUGUGUGUGUGUGUGUGUGUGUGUGUGUGUGUGUGUGUGCGUGCGUCUUCGCCAUAGAGCAAUAGCAACUUAUUCCCUCAUGCUCCCCCUCACCCCCCCACUCAGUUCUGCUCCUCAUGACCACCAACUGAGACAAGAUGGGCUGGACCAGCUGAAGACUUAGACUGGUCUUUACUGUUGGACAAUGGAGACUACAACCUGGACCAGCUGAAGACUUAGACUGGUCUUUACUGUUGGACAAUGGAGAAUAGAAUCUGGACCAGCUCUAGAUGGAGAUCAGUCUCUACUGGAUAAGCUGAGGUUGUUGGAACUGGUCUCAGAUGGUCCUUAGAGAUGGGCCUGUGCUGGUCACGAGUGUGUGUGUGUGUGUGUGUGUGUGUGUGUGUGUGUGUGUGUGUGUGUGUGUGUGUACACAGGUAGAGGUCC